GGAAAGGCACCGGGCGUUAUUCCUGUCCGGACCAGGGAGAUGCUCCACUGCCCUCCUUCCCCGUGCGCCACCGGCCCGCGCUGCGCUCUGUCCCCUCUGCUGUCACCCGGCCAGCCUGGCGGGGGGACAGCAGCGCCGCAGCCACCCAAACCUCUGCGAGAAAGGCACGGUCAGGCUGCCGCACGCCCCGGGGCUCCUCCGGAGCUCGCAGCGCUCAGGAGCGGGCGGCACCGCCGGGGGAUGCUCCUGGAGCUCCCGCGGGCGCGCAGCCCCGAGCAGCGCCCAGGCAGCCCACGCAGCGUGCAGCUCACCCGUGGGCCGCCACCUCGACGGCCCCGCUGCCACACAGGCUCCGGGCGAGGUGUCCCCCGGCCUCCAGCCCCGGGAGAGCCGUCGGGGCUCCCACCUGCCCGGCAGAGCAGAGCAAAGGCAGGGCCUCGUCCUCUCUAAGGGGCGCCAGGAUAGGGCUGGGGGGAUGACGCAUGGGAUUUUUUUUUUUUUUUUAUUUCCUCGUGGAAAAGCGAAUAAAAAAUGUACGAAAACGGCCCGAAUAGAAAAACGUCCAUCGCUCUCCGCAGCGUCUCCCCGGGACGCGCCGUCCAGGAGCGGUCGCAGUGCGGUGGAAGCGAUAGUAUUGAUCUGGGAGCUAUCUCCAGGGCUGGCCACACUCCUUGUAGCGUGCAAAGGUAAACUUUUUUUUUUUUUUUUUUUUUUUAAAGCAAUUUAAACUCUGGUUCUGUCUGAAAGUGCCUGAUAAAGGCCUCAGCAAGGGGGGGAAAGGGAACUGGAGCAUUUUAAUAAGCUGGUUUAACCCGCUUCGCUGCCUCUUCAGAACAGAGACCUGACUGGCCGGACACACAUCUCUGCUGCAUUUUCAUAUUCUCCAAAAGUCCCCCAUUAAAAAGCUGAGCGGGGAACAAGGGUACAGUGCCACAUACUGUAGCAGAGACAAUCCCCAUCUGGAACCCUCUCUCCACGAGUCUCCUGGAAGGGCACAAAACAAAAACCCGACACAACAACAACAACAACAACAACCACGACAGCAACAACAACCACCACCACCAAUCCUCCAAACUCCAGCCUUUCUUCCGGCGGGGAGAAAACCGCGUGAAAAUCGCGCUCGCAGCCGCCCUGCCGGCCCCGGGUCCGCGGCCGUCGGGGGCAGCCUGCGCCCGUCCCCGCCGCUGCCCCGGGCCCGUUCCGCGCCGCCCCACGGGCCCCCGGCCCCGGUACCUGUCGGGACCUCGGCCCGGCACCAGCGUGGCGGAAACAUCGCCGAGAGUCCCGCCAGAGAGACCGAACAGUCUCCGGUGCGGUUCUGGCCCGCAGCCAGGCGGCUGGGGCGCGGGGGGGAGGGGGGGUGGAAGGGGUAAGGGGGGGGGAUUGCUUGUGAGUAAUUUCUCUGCUUUUAUUUUUCAUCUUUCUGGCCUCCUGAACCGGCUCGUCACAUCCCCUCCGCCGGCCAGAAGCGAGCGAAAAUUCAUCCGAGGAACCGUGUUUCUGCUGUAGGGUCUAAAGGGGAGGUUCUCCUCCUUGUCCCCGCGUUUGUUUUGGGGGCUUUUCCCCUAACAUCGAACUCCUUCUUGAGGGUCACACCAGAACGACCGGACCCGCGGACCGCAGCUCCCUUCGCUGCCUCCCCGCUCGGGCCGGAGCUCCCCCCGGUCCCGGGGCUCCCCAAAUCGAGCCCCGAGCGCUGCGGCUCCCCACGCCCGGCCGAGGCACCGCGACCCCGGGCCGUGAAACUCAGAACGGGAAAAAGAUUCUGCGACACUCAGGCUGGGGAGAUCCCUCUCUCCACUGCACAGGCUCGGGAGGCCUACACAUCCCUAAAAUUUGCCCUUCCCGCCGCCCGAAUCUCGGCCCGGCCGGGUGGGUUUUCCACAGGAGAUGCCCGUACUUUCGCUUUCCCGGCUGCCCGUCCCCUGCUCGCC